rnacentral:rRNA from 1 species
GCCAGAGCCAUAUCUCCGUGCCUGGUUUCCCACUGAAGCUAAGCAGCGUUGAGUCUGGCUAGUACAUGUAUGGGAGACCUCCUGGGGAAAACUAAGGUUGCUGCUGGAA